rnacentral:rRNA from 1 species
UGAUCGGCCACACUGGGACUGAGACACGGCCCAGACUCCUACGGGAGGCAGCAGUAGGGAAUCUUCCGCAAUGGACGAAAGUCUGACGGAGCAACGCCGCGUGAGUGAUGAAGGCUUUCGGGUCGUAAAACUCUGUUGUUAGGGAAGAACAAGUGCUAGUUGAAUAAGCUGGCACCUUGACGGUACCUAACCAGAAAGCCACGGCUAACUACGUGCCAGCAGCCGCGGUAAUACGUAGGUGGCAAGCGUUAUCCGGAAUUAUUGGGCGUAAAGCGCGCGCAGGUGGUUUCUUAAGUCUGAUGUGAAAGCCCACGGCUCAACCGUGGAGGGUCAUUGGAAACUGGGAGACUUGAGUGCAGAAGAGGAAAGUGGAAUUCCAUGUGUAGCGGUGAAAUGCGUAGAGAUAUGGAGGAACACCA